rnacentral:rRNA from 1 species
AACGAACGCUGGCGGCAUGCCUAACACAUGCAAGUCGAACGAAGCCUUCGGGCUUAGUGGCGCACGGGUGCGUAACGCGUGGGAAUCUGCCCUUUGGUUCGGAAUAACAGUUGGAAACGACUGCUAAUACCGGAUGAUGACGAAAGUCCAAAGAUUUAUCGCCAGAGGAUGAGCCCGCGUAGGAUUAGCUAGUUGGUGUGGUAAAGGCGCACCAAGGCGACGAUCCUUAGCUGGUCUGAGAGGAUGAUCAGCCACACUGGGACUGAGACACGGCCCAGACUCCUACGGGAGGCAGCAGUGGGGAAUAUUGGACAAUGGGCGAAAGCCUGAUCCAGCAGUGCCGCGUGAGUGAUGAAGGCCCUAGGGUUGUAAAGUUCUUUUACCCGGGAUGAUAAUGACAGUACCGGGAGAAUAAGCCCCGGCUAACUCCGUGCCAGCAGCCGCCGUAA